GCCCAACAGCUAGCCCACCUAAACAAUUUCAACAAACCCUUGUUAAUAACCCCUAAAUACCCUAGUAUUUAAAUUAAACAAACCAUUUUUCCCCCUUAGUAUAGGCGAUAGAAAAGGGACUACGGCGCAAUAGAGAAAGUACCGCAAGGGAACGCUGAAAGAGAAAUGAAAUAACCCAGUAAAGCCCAAAAAAGCAGAGAUUCAACCUCGUACCUUUUGCAUCAUGAUUUAGCGAGUGUACCCCAAGCAAAGAGCACUUUAGUUUGACGUCCCGAAACUACGUGAGCUACUCCAAGACAGCCUAUUAAUAGGGCACACCCGUCUCUGUUGCAAAAGAGUGGGGAGAGCUUUGAGUAGAGGUGACAAACCUACCGAACCUAGUUAUAGCUGGUUGUCCAAGAAAUGAAUAGAAGUUCAGCCUCUUGGCUUCUCUUUUCACCCUAGUUUAACCCCUAUUGAUGCAUUAAAGAAACCGAGAGAGUUAGUCAAAGGGGGUACAGCCCCUUUGAAUCAAGACACAACUUUAUCAGGAGGGU
rnacentral:rRNA from 1 species